AUUGAACGCUGGCGGCAGGCCUAACACAUGCAAGUCGAGCGGAUGAAGGGAGCUUGCUCUUGGAUUUAGCGGAGGACGGGGGAGUAAUGCCUAGGACUCUGCCUGGUCGUGGGGGAUCCCGCGAGGACACGGGCGAUAAUCCCGAAUCCGCCCUGAGGGAGAAAGUGGGGGGUCAUCGUACCACUAGGCACUAGGUGAGGCCAGGUCGGAAUAGCGAGUUGGGUGGGGAAAGGGCUAACAAGGCGACGAUCCGCAACUGGUCUGAGAGGCUGAUCAGCCACACUGGAACUGAGACACGGUCCAGACUCCUACGGGAGGCAGCAGUGGGGAAUAUUGGACAAUGGGCGAAAGCCUGAUCCAGCCAUGCCGCGUGUGUGAAGAAGGUCUUCGGAUUGUAAAGCACUUUAAGUUGGGAGGAAGGGCAGUAAGUUAAUACCUUGCUGUUUUGACGUUACCAACAGAAUAAGCACCGGCUAACUUCGUG
rnacentral:rRNA from 1 species